rnacentral:rRNA from 1 species
GAUGAACGCUGGCGGCGUGCCUAAUACAUGCAAGUCGAGCUAACAGACGAGGAGCUUGCUCCUCUGACGUUAGCGGCGGACGGUUGAGUAACACGUGGAUAACCUACCUAUAAGACUGGGAUAACUGCGUGAAACCGGAGCUAAUACCGGAUAAUCUAUUGAUCCUCAUUGUUCAAUAGUGAAAGACGGUUUUGCUGUCAUUUAUAUAUGGAUCCGCGCCGCAUUAGCUAGUUGGUAAGGUAGCGGCUUACCAAGGCAACGAUGCGUAGCCGACCUGAGAGGGUGAUCGGCCACACUGGAACUGAGACACGGUCAAGACUCCUACGGGAGGCAGCAGUAGGGAAUGGUCAGAAAUGGGCGAAAGCCUGACGGAGAAACGCCGAGUGAGUGAGGAAGGUCUUCGGAUCGUAAAACUCUGUUAUUAGGGAAGAACAAAUGUGUAAGUAACGAUGCACGUAUUGACGGUACCUAAUCAGAAAGCAACGGCUAACUACGUG